rnacentral:rRNA from 1 species
UGGCUCAGGAUGAACGCUAGCUACAGGCUUAACACAUGCAAGUCGAGGGGCAGCAUGAGAGUAGCUUGCUACUUUGAUGGCGACCGGCGAAUGGGUGAGUAACGUGUAUCCAACCUGCCGCACACCCGGGAAUAGCCCUUGGAAAUGAGGAUUAAGUCCCGAUAUGCAUGGUAGUCGCAUGACUACUGUGUGAACCCAGGUAUGCGAUGGGGAUGCGUCCGAUUAGCUUGCCGGCGGGGUAACGGCCCACCGGGGCAUCGAUCGGUAGGGGUUCUGAGAGGAAGGUCCCCCACACUGGUGCUGAGACACGGACCAGACUCCUACGGGAGGCAGCAGUGAGGAAUAUUGGUCAAUGGACGAGAGUCUGAACCAGCCAAGUAGCGUGCAAGGAUGACGGCCCUAUGGGUUGUAAACUGCUUUUUCCGGGGAAUAACAUGUGCCACGUGUGGCACUUUGCAUGUACCCGGUGAAUAAGGACCGGCUAAUUCCGUGCCAGCAGCCGC